rnacentral:rRNA from 1 species
UUUACCUACGGGGGGCAGCAGUAGGGAAUCUUCCACAAUGGGCGAAAGCCUGAUGGAGCAACGCCGCGUGGGUGGAGAAGGUCUUCGGAUCGUAAAACCCUGUUGUUAGAGAAGAAAGUGCGUGAGAGUAACUGUUCACGUUUCGACGGUAUCUAACCAGAAAGCCACGGCUAACUACGUGCCAGCAGCCGCGGUAAUACGUAGGUGGCAAGCGUUAUCCGGAUUUAUUGGGCGUAAAGGGGGCGCAGACGGCGAUGCAAGCCAGGAGUGAAAGCCAGGGGCCUAACCCCGGGCCUGCUCUUGGA